ACUAACAGGAGCAGCCUCCGCUGAGCAUGGAGAGCUGCCGCCGCGGCCGGCCGGCGACGCUGGCGACGCUUUCGCCCCCGAGGUAGUUUGGCGACCGCGAAGAAGGAAAAAGUGCGGGCGGGCGGCUGUCCUCUCACCGUCCUCACCCCGCGAGGCCCGGCCCGCGCCUCUGUCGUGGAUUUCGCGGCGAUCCCCCCGGCAGCUCUUUGCAAAGCUGCUUGAAACUUCUCCCAAACUCGGCAUGGAUACGGCGGCGGCGGCGCUGCCUGCUUUUGUGGCGCUCUUGCUCCUCUCCCCUUGGCCUCUCCUGGGAUCGGCCCAAGGCCAGUUCUCCGCAGGUGGCUGUACUUUUGAUGAUGGUCCAGGGGCCUGUGAUUACCACCAGGAUCUGUAUGAUGACUUUGAAUGGGUGCAUGUUAGUGCUCAAGAGCCUCACUAUCUACCACCCGAGAUGCCCCAAGGUUCGUAUAUGAUAGUGGACUCUUCAGAUCACGACCCUGGAGAAAAAGCCAGACUUCAGCUGCCUACAAUGAAGGAGAAUGACACUCACUGCAUUGAUUUCAGUUACCUAUUAUAUAGCCAGAAAGGACUGAAUCCUGGCACUUUGAACAUAUUAGUUAGGGUGAAUAAAGGACCUCUUGCCAAUCCAAUUUGGAAUGUGACUGGAUUCACGGGUAGAGAUUGGCUUCGGGCCGAGCUAGCAGUGAGCACCUUUUGGCCCAAUGAAUAUCAGGUAAUAUUUGAAGCUGAAGUCUCAGGAGGGAGGAAUGGUUAUAUUGCCAUUGAUGACAUCCAAGUACUGAGUUAUCCUUGUGAUAAAUCUCCUCAUUUCCUCCGUCUAGGCGAUGUAGAGGUGAAUGCAGGGCAAAACGCUACAUUUCAGUGCAUUGCCACAGGGAGAGAUGCUGUGCAUAACAAGUUAUGGCUCCAGAGACGAAAUGGAGAAGAUAUACCAGUAGCCCAGACUAAGAACAUCAAUCAUAGAAGGUUUGCCGCUUCCUUCAGAUUGCAAGAAGUGACAAAAACUGACCAGGAUUUGUAUCGCUGUGUAACUCAGUCAGAACGAGGUUCCGGUGUGUCCAAUUUUGCUCAACUUAUUGUGAGAGAACCACCAAGACCCAUUGCUCCUCCUCAGCUGCUUGGUGUUGGGCCUACAUAUUUGCUGAUCCAACUAAAUGCCAACUCGAUCAUUGGCGAUGGUCCUAUCAUCCUGAAAGAAGUAGAGUACCGAAUGACAUCAGGAUCCUGGACAGAAACCCACGCAGUCAAUGCUCCAACUUACAAAUUAUGGCAUUUAGAUCCAGAUACUGAAUAUGAGAUCCGAGUUCUACUUACAAGACCUGGUGAAGGUGGAACGGGGCUCCCAGGACCUCCACUAAUCACCAGAACAAAAUGUGCAGAACCUAUGCGAACCCCAAAGACGUUAAAGAUUGCUGAAAUACAGGCAAGACGGAUUGCUGUGGACUGGGAAUCCUUGGGUUACAACAUUACACGUUGCCACACUUUUAAUGUCACUAUCUGCUACCAUUACUUUCGUGGUCACAACGAGAGCAAGGCAGACUGUUUGGACAUGGACCCCAAAGCCCCUCAGCAUGUUGUGAACCAUCUGCCACCUUAUACAAAUGUCAGCCUCAAGAUGAUCCUAACCAAUCCAGAGGGAAGGAAGGAGAGUGAAGAGACAAUUAUUCAAACUGAUGAAGAUGUGCCUGGUCCCGUACCAGUAAAAUCUCUUCAAGGAACAUCCUUUGAAAAUAAGAUCUUCUUGAACUGGAAAGAACCUUUGGAUCCAAAUGGAAUCAUCACUCAAUAUGAGAUCAGCUAUAGCAGUAUAAGAUCGUUUGAUCCUGCAGUUCCAGUGGCUGGACCUCCCCAGACUGUAUCAAAUUUAUGGAACAGUACACACCAUGUCUUUAUGCAUCUCCACCCUGGAACCACGUACCAGUUUUUCAUAAGAGCCAGCACAAUCAAAGGCUUUGGUCCAGCCACAGCCAUCAAUGUCACCACCAAUAUCUCAGCUCCAACUUUACCUGACUAUGAAGGAGUUGAUGCCUCUCUCAAUGAAACUGCCACCACAAUAACUGUAUUGUUGAGACCAGCACAAGCCAAAGGUGCUCCUAUCAGUGCUUAUCAGAUUGUUGUGGAAGAACUGCACCCACACCGAACCAAGAGAGAAGCCGGAGCCAUGGAAUGCUACCAGGUUCCUGUCACAUACCAAAAUGCCAUGAGUGGGGGUGCACCCUAUUACUUUGCUGCAGAACUCCUCCCGGGAAACCUACCUGAGCCUGCUCCAUUCACUGUGGGUGACAAUCGGACCUACCAAGGCUUUUGGAACCCUCCUUUGGCUCCGCGCAAAGGAUACAACAUCUAUUUCCAGGCGAUGAGCAGUGUGGAGAAGGAAACUAAAACCCAGUGUGUACGCAUUGCUACAAAAGCAGCAGCAACAGAAGAACCAGAAGUGAUCCCAGAUCCCGCAAAGCAGACAGAUAGAGUGGUGAAAAUAGCAGGAAUUAGUGCUGGAAUUUUGGUGUUCAUCCUCCUUCUCCUAGUUGUCAUAUUAAUUGUAAAAAAGAGGAGGAGCUACUAUUCUUACUCCUACUACCUCAAACUUGCUAAAAAACGCAAAGAUGCCAUGGGGAAUACCCGGCAGGAGAUGACUCACAUGGUGAAUGCAAUGGAUCGAAGUUAUGCUGAUCAGAGCACUCUGCAUGCAGAAGAUCCUCUUUCCAUCACCUUCAUGGACCAACACAACUUUAGUCCAAGAUUGCCCAAUGAUCCACUUGUACCGACUGCUGUGUUAGUUCCUAUAACAGGAAGAAAAAAUGUUUAUCAUGGGGACAACAGUUCAUUUUUUGCCAUAUCCUAUUUGUAGAGUUGGUGAUAGAACAGGCAAAUGUACUAGCACUUGAAAUAUGCUUAUCUGUUAAUUAAAUAUCGUUCUCUACAGUAUGCAUUAUCAUUAAAAAAAAAGUUCCCCUGAGAGUGUAUUUUCUCUUCUGUUAAUGAGUAUGACGGUAUAAUGCUUUUCAAAGUAAUACCCCUUAAAACAUUUGUUGUUUUUUUUUUAAGUGGUAAGUUUAAAUGUGAUAAAUAUGAGCAUGCUUCUCAUUGUAAUGUUUAGUACUUCGGUCAUUAAAAUACUGUUUAUUCUUCAUAGGC
rnacentral:sRNA from 1 species